AUAUGUUAAUGUGCUUUAUAUAGAAGUCAAAAAGAAUCGGAUUGAAUUUGGAGAAGUAACAUUGCUUUCUUUGUACCAUUCUCUGGUAAAAGCAUUCCAGAAAUUAUUAUAGGCCAUAAUUUCAGAUGUACACAUGAUUUUUAAAAACUGCUUUCCCAUAAAAGUUUUAUUUGAUUUAUAAUGUGAUUCUACCCAGAUUCAAUCAGAGGUUUUUUUUUCCUGGUCUUCAGCAUUCAGAUUUCUCACCACACUAGUGGCAGAUAGUAACAUUUCUUCCAUAGAGUUCUUGAAUGGACUAAAUUAA
rnacentral:lncRNA from 1 species